rnacentral:rRNA from 1 species
AUGUCUGAGGGAAUGAAACUGAAGUUUGACAAAUAUUGGAAAGAUGUACAUGGUCUGAUGUCUGUUGCGACUGUUCUUCUUCAUAUGCUGCAAGCUCUUUUUGGUUCUCUUUAUGGAAUGGAAUAUGCAGCUGUGAAAGUUGCUAAAAUAAGGAACUCAAUGGCUGAAUUGUUGGAUAUAUAUCAAAAAGAUGAUGAGGCCACGACUACAUCAAAGGUUGUUAGCACGGCUGUUGCACAAGUUGCUGGAAUAGAUGAUGUAAUGAAAAUAUUUGAUAAAUAUAUGUCCUCACAGCCUACAAUUUGUACUUCUCAAGUCCGAACUGAAUUAGACUUGUACUUGGGAGAGCAGCCUAUCAACCGAAUACCAUACAAAGAUAUGGAUAUCAUCAAUUGGUGGAAGUUUGGAGGAGCAAAAUAUCCCACUUUGCAAAGAAUUGCUCAUGAUAUAUUGCCUAUCCCCGUGACAUCAGUGGCAUCAGAAUCAGCCUUUAGUACUUGUGGCAGACUACUUAGUCCCCAUCAUAGCUGACUUACACCAAAAAUCGCUGAAGCUCUUAUGUGUAUGCAAGCUUGGUCCCGUGCUGAUAUGAUAGGUAAUUAA